rnacentral:rRNA from 1 species
AAACCGCUUAGGGGUUAAGCCCGAUGAACCUGAAUAUCUGAUGUGAGAAAUUCAAUACUGUUUGUAUUAUUUUAUAUAACACAUAUGGUAUGCACUUUUCUCAUAGUAAGACAUUGUAAUCCAUUGAUGCUAUAUCUCUUCAUUGAGAUGAUUUAACAUACGGACAAAAUGUUUAUGAUUAUUCUAUCAGUGAUAUGUUUACAUGUCAUAUGAAUAAAAUUCGUUUUGUACCUGUUUAAAUAGUUGAUGGUUUUUAUGAUAAUCAUGCUUGCAAUUUAUUUUGCGUUUCGUAUUAUUAAUUUUUAAUUGAUGGUAGCAGAAACGGCAUGUGUUUGAUUAACAAUGCGAUAGAUUUGGGAUGCCUUCGGGACCCGUCUUGAAACACGGACCAAGGAGUCUAACAUAUGUGCAAGUCAUUGAGUAUUUCGUUGAAACCUAAUGGCGUAAUUAAAAUGACUAUAUUUUUAAUUUGGGAUCACAAGUAAUGUUCAAAUUUAUGCAUUACUUUUUAAUCCCGGGGCGUUCUAUACGAACAUGAUGUAAGCGAUUA